UACAGAGGGGGCAAGCGUUGUUCGGAAUUACUGGGCGUAAAGGGCGCGUAGGCGGCCUGCUAAGUCGAACGUGAAAUCCCUGGGCUCAACCCAGGAACUGCGUCCGAUACUGGUUGGCUUGAAUCCGGGAGAGGGACGUGGAAUUCCAGGUGUAGCGGUGAAAUGCGUAGAUAUCUGGAGGAAUACCGGUGGCGAAGGCGGCAUCCUGGACCGACAUUGACGCUGAACGGCGAAAGCUAGGGGAGCAAACGGG
rnacentral:rRNA from 1 species